UGGGGAAUUUUGGACAAUGGGGGAAAGCCUGAUCCAGCAAUGCCGCGUGUGUGAAGAAGGCCUUCGGGUUGUAAAGCACUUUUGUCCGGAAAGAAAUCCUUGGCUCUAAUACAGUCGGGGGAUGACGGUACCGGAAGAAUAAGCACCGGCUAACUACGUGCCAGCAGCCGCGGUAAUACGUAGGGUGCAAGCGUUAAUCGGAAUUACUGGGCGUAAAGCGUGCGCAGGCGGUUUGCUAAGACCGAUGUGAAAUCCCCGGGCUCAACCUGGGAACUGCAUUGGUGACUGGCAGGCUAGAGUAUGGCAGAGGGGGGUAGAAUUCCACGUGUAGCAGUGAAAUGCGUAGAGAUGUGGAGGAAUACCGAUGGCGAAGGCAGCCCCCUGGGCCAAUACUGACGCUCAUGCACGAAAGCGUGGGGAGCAAACAGGAUUAGGUACCCUGGUAGUCCCACGCCCUAAACGAUGUCAACUAGUUGUUGGGGAUUCAUUUCCUUAGUAACGUAGCUAACGCGUGAAGUUGACCGCCUGGGGAGUACGGUCGCAAGAUUAAAACUCAAAUGAAUUGACGGGGUCAUAGCUG
rnacentral:rRNA from 1 species